GCUUGAUCAGCUUAGAUCUCCUGCAGUGAAGUCAAUUACUAACUUGAUGAUCAUUGUGGUGAUUAAGUGUCUUUCAGAAAUUGCGACUAAAAGGCCGGCUUUUUACGGUCGUAUUCUGCCAGUUCUACUUAGCCUGAGUCCUGCAAGAUCCGACGGCAAUAAGCUGCAUGUUUCUGGGGUAUACCGUGCUCUGAAGACAGCCUUCAUUUCUUGCUUGCAUUGUAAACACCCAGGAGCUGCACCGUGGCGGGAUCGACUAGAAGUUGCACUCCGAGAAAAGAGAGCAGGAGUUCAGGCAGGACCAGUUGUAAGCCAAGAUUCCCAGAAUAAUGGAGAUACAGAGUUGAAGGAUGUUUCCUCGAUCUUAGAGGAUUCAAAGCCUUCAAUUAAAUCAUCUUCUGGGACAAAGAGAUCAGGGGUGGAGCACAAUGCUGAACUGAUAGAUGAUAAUCUCUCUAAGAAGCGCAUGCGAUCGACACCUAUUGUCUCCAAGGCACCAAAGCAAGAGCCGAGUGGGAUCCAGGAGAGAGUUUCGGCUGGGGGUUCCACAACAACCAGAUCUGAUGGAGAUAAUGUUAAUUUGCAACCACUUGUUGCAAUGUUUGGUACUUUAGUUGCCCAGGGUGAAAAGGCUGCAGCGUCUUUAGAUAUUUUAAUCUCUAGUAUAUCAGCUGACUUGCUAGCAGAUGUUGUGAUGGCUAAUAUGAGAAAUCUACCUUCAAA
rnacentral:misc_RNA from 1 species